rnacentral:rRNA from 1 species
AUCUCGCCCUCGUCAUCAGUUCUGUAUCGCCGUCGUCGUGGCCACGGUAAAGCCGCCGUCCCCGCCGCGGAUCCCCUCCGGAAUACCCCGCCGAUCGCCGCCGCAGGCCGGUUUCAACCCCAGGGGUGGUGGACGUACGACGCGGAGGCGUCCCAGGUGCCACUGUACAGGGAGCCGGUGUGCGAGUUCCUGACGGAGCAGGUGACCUGCAUGCGCAACGGCCGGCGCGACGACUCGUACCAGCGGUGGCGCUGGCAGCCUUCCUCCUGCGACCUCCCCAGGUUCAACGCGCGGUUGCUGCUGGAGCGGCUGCGGAACAAGAGGCUGAUGUUCGUGGGGGACUCGCUGAAGUCGAUGUUGUGCCUGGUGUCGGUCGGCGAUCCCGUCGCGCGGCCAAAAGUCCCUGGCCAAGUUCGUGGGGCCCAACGGCUCUCUCAAUGUGUUCAUGGCGGCGGAUUACAACGCGACGGUGGAGUUCUACUGGGAGCUCCAACUCGGACGACCCGCAGGCGCACGUGCUGGACCCGUCAUCGCCUGGCGGUCCAUUCCCAAGCACGCCCGGCACUGUUGAGCCGCCCACUUCCUCGUCUUCAACGAGAUGAAAGUGUUGAAGAAUCCUCGGGCGUUGCCGGACAAGUACACGAGUGCAAGCACAACGUAACAUAUUUGGGCAAACCGGCCAUUCUACGUGUUUGGUCUUGGAUCGGCAAGCUACAUCAACGGUGUCAGGUUCUCUAG